rnacentral:rRNA from 1 species
AACGAACGCUGGCGGCAGGCCUAACACAUGCAAGUCGAGCGGUAGCACAGAGAGCUUGCUCUCGGGUGACGAGCGGCGGACGGGUGAGUAAUGUCUGGGAAACUGCCUGAUGGAGGGGGAUAACUACUGGAAACGGUAGCUAAUACCGCAUAACGUCGCAAGACCAAAGUGGGGGACCUUCGGGCCUCAUGCCAUCAGAUGUGCCCAGAUGGGAUUAGCUGGUAGGUGGGGUAACGGCUCACCUAGGCGACGAUCCCUAGCUGGUCUGAGAGGAUGACCAGCCACACUGGAACUGAGACACGGUCCAGACUCCUACGGGAGGCAGCAGUGGGGAAUAUUGCACAAUGGGCGCAAGCCUGAUGCAGCCAUGCCGCGUGUGUGAAGAAGGCCUUCGGGUUGUAAAGCACUUUCAGCGGGGAGGAAGGCGAUAAGGUUAAUAACCUUGUCGAUUGACGUUACCCGCAGAAGAAGCACCGGCUAACUCCGUGCCAGCAGCCGCAGUAAAAC